UACGUAGGGGGCAAGCGUUGUCCGGAUUUAUUGGGCGUAAAGAGCUCGUAGGUGGUUCGGUAAGUCGGAUGUGAAAUCUCCAGGCUCAACCUGGAGGGGUCAUUCGAUACUGCCGUGACUAGAGUUCGGUAGGAGAGUGUGGAAUUCCUGGUGGAGCGGUGAAAUGCGCAGAUAUCAGGAGGAACACCCGUAGCGAAGGCGGCACUCUGGGCCGAUACUGACACUGAGGAGCGAAAGCGUGGGGAGCGAACAGG
rnacentral:rRNA from 1 species